rnacentral:snRNA from 1 species
GUGCUCGCUUUGGCAACACAUAUACUAAAAUAUACUAAAAUUGGAAUGAUACAGAGAAGAUUAGCAUGGCCCCUGCGCAAGGAUGACACACAAGUUAGUGAAGCAUUCCAUAUUAAA